rnacentral:rRNA from 1 species
GAUGAACGCUAGCGGCAGGCUUAAUACAUGCAAGUCGAGGGGCAGCAUGAAUGUAGCAAUACAUUUGAUGGCGACCGGCAAACGGGUGCGGAACACGUACACAACCUUCCUAUAACUGGGGAAUAGCCCAGAGAAAUUUGGAUUAAUACCCCGUAACAUAAUGAUGUGGCAUCACAUUAUUAUUAUAGCUACGGCGCUUGUUGAUGGGUGUGCGGCUGAUUAGAUAGUUGGCGGGGUAACGGCCCACCAAGUCUACGAUCAGUAGCUGAUGUGAGAGCAGGAUCAGCCACGCGGGCACUGGGACACGGGCCCGACUCCUACGGGAGGCAGCAGUGAGGAAUAUUGGUCAAUGGACGCAAGUCUGAACCAGCCAUGCCGCGUGAAGGAUUAAGGUCCUCUGGAUUGUAAACUACUUUUAUCUGGGACGAAAAAAGGCUAUACUUAGUCACUUGACGGUACCAGAUGAAUAAGCACCGGCUAACUCCGUGCCAGCCGCCGCAGUAAUAC